AUAAAACUCAAGGUUAGUGAGACUUUUCCUCUUCUAGUAUAUUUCUACAAAAUAUGAAUGCACAAAAUCCCCUAAACAUUAUUUGUUUUCAUAAGUUAGAAAUAAAAUCUGCAUAUUGAGAUGGUCUUUUGGCGGCGCCAAAACAGUUUAAGCACGAAUCUGUGACUGAGGUGAGUUCCAGCCGCUGUUGUGCUUAUUUUACCUGUCCCACGAACACAACAGCUGCCUGGCCAACAUUCAGCGACUCAGAGACACAUUACCAAAUGACUGCUGCGAGGGGAGGCUUGGCUAGCUGACUAACUGAAAUAAGCCUCAAGAUCAAUGCAAACCGCAAGACCUUACACCAUAUAUAAUACAAUGAAGGAUAUUAUUGUUACUACUGUUCAUCCAAGCCAGCAUCACCACCACCACCACCACCACCACCACUUCAAGCUUCGUUAAAGCACUCAUCCAGGUGGAGGUAGAACCAGUGGGACGAUGGUUCCACAUAUAUGAGGCACGGCGUCUGCGGGGCCACCUCACCUCCUCAGUUGGGGAAAGUGAAGAGGAGAGUGAGGAGGAGGAGGCUCAGGAGGUGGAGGUGGAGGAUGACAUACACUAUCUUCGCUCUCUCAACCCAGCAGACUGGAAGGACCAGGAUCAUUAUGCAGUACUGGGACUCCGAAAGCACAGGUACAAGGCCUCUGAUGAUGACAUCAAAAGAGCGUGUAAGUCCUGGUGGCAUCUGGAGCUAGAGUGUAUAGUGUACUGAGUACCAAGUUUUAGUGCACCUGCUGUUUGAAGGUAUUUUUAUAGUGCCAGUUUUCAGUUGCAGUGUCAGCCCUUUUAGUCUUGGUAUUUUUAUUUUAUUUGUAUAUUUUCAAUAACUACAUUUUAUUUGUGCCUUG